CCCUUAGAUGUUCUGGGCCGCACGCGUGCUACACUGAGUGGAUCAGCGGGUCAGGUUGCGCGAAAGCGUUUCCUAAUCUUUAAAUCCGCUCGUGAUGGGGAGUGACGGUUGCAAUUUUCUGUCAUGAACGAGGAAUACCUUGUAAGCGCGGGUCAUCAUCCCGCGCUGAAUACGUCCCUGCCCUUUGUACACACCGCCCGUCGCUCCUACCGAUUGAGUGGUCCGGUGAGGCUUUGGGAUCUGAGCGGAAAGAGCGUUUCGCUGUUUCUGCUCGGAAAACUCAGUCGAACCUUAUCAUUUAGAGGAAGGAGAAGUCGUAACA
rnacentral:rRNA from 1 species